CAGAGUUCUUCAGAUUUCUGAGGUGUCUCUUUUUUUUUUUUUUUUUUUUUGACAGCUUUUGGAAUCUUUGCACAUGUGUGAUGGGAUCGCUUAGUGGUGUAACCCAAAUCUAAACAUGAAAUACACAGUAUGAACACAAGCUGAAAGCAAUUUCACGUGGCAUUUUUAAAGAGCCUGUUGCUGUUGGCUUCAACCUGACAAAUGAGGUCAGGUGUGGAAUUUUCCACUUGUGGUGUCAUAUAGGACCUCAGAAAGUUCCAGAACUGGAUUAUUUAGAAGUUUGGGGUUGGAGAUGUUCAACCUGUAUCACAGUCACACGGGACUCAUCCGACUGCACACAUCAGUGUAUGGUAUACGGUCAGUCAGGCCGUUAUGUCAAAACAAACCUGAAGCAGGCGGACAAUGUUUCAAACGAAUCAGGUGGGGAGUAUUCAUCCUAAGCCACCACACAAGCAUCCGACAGCAAUUACCGUUCAUCUUCCCCCUGUGCCAGCCCUGCUAGACCCACACUUGCGUUAGCUCAUUCAAUCCUCAUAAAACUUUGUGCGGGGUGGGGUGGGGUGUAGACAGGGUAAGAAGCUUGCUCAAAGUCCCUCAGAACAAUUCCUCGGUCCCAGCUCUUAAACCCAGUGAGGCACUUAGAUCUGGCUAUGCCACUAAAUGGCCAUGUCUGAGUUGGGUGGGUCUCUGAGCAAACAGCCUUUUAGUGGCUGGAUGCCUCCAAGUGAUACCUCAUAAAACUUCCUUUUUGAUGGUCACCAAAUUGUUCCCCCAAAUUAGUCAGGGCCUGUGUCAGUAGGUCUUAAAGUAUACGCUGCCUGGUGUGAUAAAGUCACAAUUUGAAUUUCAUUGUCCUCGCAAACAUAGUCUUACAUUUGGUCCUCAGAGGCACGGGGUUAUAGGCUACAGGGUUGCUUGGGCGCAGGGAAGCCUCACUUCUCUCAGUGGGCCACCAGUUACUCUGGGGCCACCAAGGUCACAGGCUGUUCACAUGGUCAGGGCAGUCCUGAGCCCAUAGGACAGAGCCCACUACUGUCCCUCCAGAAAAUGCCAGAGUCUUGGAGUCGUUCACGAGAUCCACAUGUCCUUCCUGGGGAGGCUCCCUUCAUCACCCUGGACCAGGAGCUCGUUCUCUCCACAGCCUUCAAGUCAAAAAGAAGACAACUUGUGUGGAUCUCCCCAUCUGGGGGAAAUAUAUAUAUCUUAGAUCAGCAAUUCUCAACCUGUGGGGUUGGAGGUCCUAUAUCACAUAUCCUGUAUAUCAGAUAUUUACAUUCAGAUUCAUAACAGUAGCAAAAUCACAGUUAUUUAUGCCUGGGGUGGGUCACUACAACAUUAGGAAUUGUAGUAGAGGGUUGCAGCAUUAAGAAGGUUGAGAACCACUGCUUUUAGACUAAAGCAAAUGUCCUUGAGGGAGGCUUUUCUUGUACUGCUGUCUUCAUAUGAAAGAAUAACCAUUGGUUUCUUCAGAUGUAACAAGAAUAACCAUUUGUCUCUUCAGAUGUAACAAGAAUAACCAUUGGUCUCUUCAGAUGUAACAAGAAUAACCAUUGGUCUCUUCAGAUGUAACAAGAAUAACCAUUGGUCUAUUCAGAUGUAACAAGAAUAACCAUUGGUCUCUUCAGAUGUAACAAGAAUAACCAUUGGUCUCUUCAGAUGUAACAAGAAUAACCAUUGGUCUCUUCAGAUGUAACAAGAAUAACCAUUGGUCUCUUCAGAUGUAACAAGAAUAACCAUUGGUCUCUUCAGAUGUAACAAGAAUAACCAUUGGUCUAUUCAGAUGUAACAAGAAUAACCAUUGGUCUCUUCAGAUGUAACAAGAAUAACCAUUGGUCUCUUCAGAUGUAACAAGAAUAACCAUUGAUCUCUUCAGAUGUAACAAGAAUAACCAUUGGUCUCUUCAGAUGUAACAAGAAUAACCAUUGGUCUCUUCAGAUGUAACAAGAAUAACCAUUGGUCUCUUCAGAUGUAACAAGAAUAACCAUUGGUCUCUUCAGAUGUAACAAGAAUAACCAUUGGUCUCUUCAGAUGUAACAAGAAUAACCAUUGGUCUCUUCAGAUGUAACAAGAAUAACCAUUGGUUUCUUCAGAUGUAACAAGAAUAACCAUUGGUCUCUUCAGAUGUAACAAGAAUAACCAUUGGUCUCUUCAGAUGUAACAAGAAUAACCAUUGGUCUCUUCAGAUGUAACAAGAAUAACCAUUGGUCUCUUCAGAUGUAACAAGAAUAACCAUUGGUCUCUUCAGAUGUAACAAGAAUAACCAUUGGUCUCUUCAGAUGUAACAAGAAUAACCAUUGGUCUCUUCAGAUGUAACAAGAAUAACCAUUGGUUAAGUGACAUUGGGCAGAUCUCCCAACAGAGUCCGGGCCUUCACUCACAAGGACAGGUGUGCUCCUGUCAUCAUCUGGUGAGAAGUCUGUAGCAUCCUUUACAAUUGAUCCAAAGUCACUGGGUAGAGGGAACCUCUCCACUACCCUGCCCCAUUGACAAAAAUAAAGAAAUGCAGGCCAGUGGGAGCAGUCAGCCGCUACACUGUCCCCUGCUGGCAACUUCUGAGGAA